UUUGGGGGCCUACGGGAGGCAGCAGUAGGGAAUCUUCCGCAAUGGGCGAAAGCCUGACGGAGCAACGCCGCGUGAGUGAUGAAGGUCUUCGGAUCGUAAAACUCUGUUAUUAGGGAAGAACAAACGUGUAAGUAACUGUGCACGUCUUGACGGUACCUAAUCAGAAAGCCACGGCUAACUACGUGCCAGCAGCCGCGGUAAUACGUAGGUGGCAAGCGUUAUCCGGAAUUAUUGGGCGUAAAGCGCGCGUAGGCGGUUUUUUAAGUCUGAUGUGAAAGCCCACGGCUCAACCGUGGAGGGUCAUUGGAAACUGGAAAACUUGAGUGCAGAAGAGGAAAGUGGAAUUCCAUGUGUAGCGGUGAAAUGCGCAGAGAUAUGGAGGAACACCAGUGGCGAAGGCGACUUUCUGGUCUGUAACUGACGCUGAUGUGCGAAAGCGUGGGGAUCAAACAGGAUUAGAUACCCUGGUAGUCCACGCCGUAAACGAUGAGUGCUAAGUGUUAGGGGGUUUCCGCCCCUUAGUGCUGCAGCUAACGCAUAAGCACUCCGC
rnacentral:rRNA from 1 species